rnacentral:tmRNA from 1 species
GGGGCUGACUGGUAUUGACAGGUAUUGGAAGGGAUUGAGUGCAACGAGGUUUGAACAAGACCUACUAAAAAAGGUUCACCAUUGUUUAAUUGGCACAGAGUUCAAUUACGCAUACGCUUAAGUCGUAAGCCGUCACACCAUGACACCGAUAGUGGAAUGUGGCGUCGUAAUCGGUAAGACCACUCACUUCAGGUUUAGAGUAUAAAUGAAAUCUCUGUUAAACCAUUCUGAACAAAAUGGGACAUGGUGGGUUGUUAGUGACUACCGAUUUGGAACUAACUAAGUUGUGAAUGACUAUUUAUUAAAAGCAGACUGGACGUGGGUUCGAAUCCCACCAGCUCCACCA